rnacentral:rRNA from 1 species
AUGUUGGGAUCUGGAAGCUUUGGAAAAGUCUUCAAGGGACAACUGAGCAAUGGCUUGGUGGUCGCGGUAAAAGUUAUUGACAUGCAGCUUGAGGAGGCCAUCCAAAGCUUUAAUGUGGAGUGUCAAGUGCUUCGAAUGGCGCUACACCGCAACCUGAUAAAGAUACUCAACACAUGUUCAAACCUUGACUUCAGAGCACUAGUUCUUCAGUACAUGCCAAAAGGCAGCUUAGAGAUGAUCCUACACCGGUCUCAGAGUUCAUGUCACCCAGGGUUCCUUGAGAGACUAGGCAUCAUGCUCGAUGUGUUUAUGGCGAUGGAGUAUCUGCACCAUGAGCACUAA